UGAGCUCUCAAGGGUGGGGACUGAAUCGAACCUGUUUAGCUCAUUUGCAUGUUCCAGGCUGCCCUGGAAUUUUUAAGCCCAGUAAUCCUGUUCAUGCCCUCCCAUGCCUCUUUGGCACAUUUUUUUUUCCAGCUUGCACAGUUUUUUUCCAGCUAGCCUCUCCCAGUAGCUGUUUUUUGCUUUCCUCAGCCACACCCCCCAGCUCAUUUUGGACUGACCUGACCUCCUCACUGUCUCCUGCCAUGAGUACCCUCUUUUUUCCUGCUUAGGAGGGCUUUAAUGUCAUUGUUGAUCCAUGGCUUGUUGUUUGAAAAACAGCGGACCUUCGUUGUGGGUAUGAGGCUGUACUAUUCCUACUCUUUCCAUUUCUUCCGUCAUGUCCUUUCUUUCUACUUUAUAUUUUCUGCAGCACAUGUUCUACAGAUUCUGCCGUCUGGCAAUGAUCACAAACCAGCUGGCUGCUUCCUUAUAAUGUGAAGUGAACUAUUCUGUGUAUUAUUCUCAAUCUAGUCAUGAUUGUCUCCUCUUUUCUGUUUCUUCCCUUACUUUCCACAAUACCGAUUCUACAAUGCCCUCCAUUAAUAUUGGCACCAUGAAUUCAUAGGGGUGCCAAUAAUUGUUGCACAUACACACCUAUAUUUAACAAGGUGGUUUUUUUUGUUUGUUUUUUUAAAUAUAUAUAAACCUGAGUUGUAUUUCAAUUGUUUGAUGUCCAUGAGAGCAGAGUAUUUCUGUGAAUUUUUUUAAUGCUCAUAUUUACCAAGGGUGCCAAUAUUAAUGGAGGGUGCUGUGUAUCAUUAUGGAGUAUAAAUGUCUUCCUUUUAUCUCCCGGUCCCACUGCUGCUUCCACUAACAAUUUCCUUCUGGCUUUGAGAGACUCAUGUCUGUUUUCUUCUCUCCUUUUUUCCCCAGUAUGUUUGGCUAGUUUGUCCACUCUUCCAUUACCCAUAAUGCCUAGUGUGAACCCAAAUGAAUAUGAAUUCAUCUAUAGAUAUUUCUAUUGAGUAAAUGAUUGAGAAAGUCAAUUUUCAUUGUGGUUUUGUUUGACUUUAUUAACAGGCACCGUUCCAAAGAUGAUCAAAUGUUUGCUUGUCCAAAUAUGUCAAAAAGUCAACACUUUCCAUGGGGUGUACUUAUUUUUUCACACGACUGUAUAUCCUUACAUUGAUCACUUAUGUACACUUAUCCUCCACAUGUAUAAUAUAUCCUCUCUCUGCGUUAAUCUCGAGUCAAAAUGCCAUCCCAAAAAACACCGCUUUCAACUCUCUCCAAGUUACCUCCAUAUUGUUUCAGAUGAUCACCUUCCGGGGGUUCUUUCUUGUGAAAGGCAUCGAUUUGGUCUUUUCCACCGAGAAUGUAAAUCCCCACCUCGUCCCCCACAUUUCAACCUGUUUGACCCCAUCUUGUAUUGUCUUAACUAUGUUCUACAUUCCUCCCUCUCUUCCUCGGAGCCCUCAGACUCAUCCGCAAACAGGAAAUCAGUGAUCCUUCCGUAUCCAUUUAAAUAUCAGGCUCCAAUCCAUUUUUAUAGCCAUGAAUGAUUACCACAAGAGUCUUUAUCAUUGCCCAAAUGUUUUCAUGUGCCUUACAACACUGUUGUGGGUGUGGUCUAGUUUCAAAAUCUACCUGGUGUCAGAAAGAACUUGGUAAGUCCACAGACGAAUGAGAACUUCUUAAACAUACGCCUCUAUAAAGAACAGAAAUCAAACAAAACUUUUACUGUGUUUAUUCAAUGAUUCUUGGAU
ensembl:lncRNA